UCCAGACUCCUACGGGAGGCAGCAGUGGGGAAUAUUGCACAAUGGGGGGAACCCUGAUGCAGCAACGCCGCGUGGGUGAAGAAGUACUCCGGUAUGUAAAGCCCUGUCAGCAGGGAAGAAAAUGACGGUACCUGACCAAGAAGCCCCGGCUAACUACGUGCCAGCAGCCGCGGUAAUACGUAGGGGGCAAGCGUUAUCCGGAUUUACUGGGUGUAAAGGGAGCGUAGGCGGUGCAGCAAGUCAGAAGUGAAAGCCCGGGGCUCAACUCCGGGACUGCUUUUGAAACUGUUGGACUAGAUUGCAGGAGAGGUAAGUGGAAUUCCUAGUGUAGCGGUGAAAUGCGUAGAUAUUAGGAGGAACACCAGUGGCGAAGGCGGCUUACUGGACUGUAAAUGACGCUGAGGCUCGAAAGCGUGGGGAGCAAACAGGAUUAGAUACCCCAGUA
rnacentral:rRNA from 1 species